GCGAUGUUUGAUCCUGGCUCAGAACGAACGCUGGCGGCGCGCCUAAUACAUGCAAGUCGAGCGAGAAGACGUAGCAAUACGUUUGUAAAGCGGCGAACGGGUGAGGAAUACAUGGGUAACCUACCCUCGAGUGGGGAAUAACUAGCCGAAAGGUUAGCUAAUACCGCAUACGACUCUUGGUCUGCGGAUCGAGAGGGAAAGCGAUACCGUGGGUAUCGCGCUCUUGGAUGGGCUCAUGUCCUAUCAGCUUGUUGGUGAGGUAAUGGCUCACCAAGGCUUCGACGGGUAGCUGGUCUGAGAGGACGAUCAGCCACACUGGCACUGCGACACGGGCCAGACUCCUACGGGAGGCAGCAGUAAGGAAUAUUGCGCAAUGGGCGACAGCCUGACGCAGCGACGCCGCGUGGGGGAUGAAGGUCUUCGGAUUGUAAACCCCUUUCGGCAGGGAAGAUGGAACGGGCAACCGUUCGGACGGUACCUGCAGAAGCAGCCACGGCUAACUUCGUGCCAGCAGCCGCGGUAAUA
rnacentral:rRNA from 1 species